CUACGGAGGGUGCGAGCGUUGUUCGGAAUUAUUGGGCGUAAAGAGCAUGUAGGCGGUCUGUUAAGUCUGGUGUGAAAGCCCGGGGCUCAACCCCGGAAGUGCAUUGGAUACUGGCAGACUUGAGUAUGGGAGAGGAAAGCGGAAUUCCGAGUGUAGGAGUGAAAUCCGUAGAUAUUCGGAGGAACACCAGUGGCGAAGGCGGCUUUCUGGACCAAUACUGACGCUGAGAUGCGAAAGCGUGGGGAGCGAACAGGAUUAGAUACCCGGGUAGUCC
rnacentral:rRNA from 1 species